GACAGAGGUGCCGAGCGUUAGGCGGAAUCACUGGGCUUAAAGCGUGUGUAGGCGGCUCGUUAAGUGUCUUGUGAAAUCCCCCGGCUCAACCGGGGAACUGCUGGGCAUACUGGCGAUCUUGAGCGGCCUAGGGGCAGAUGGAACAAGUGGUGGAGCGGUGAAAUGCGUAGAUAUCACUUGGAACGCCAAAGGUGAAAACAGUCUGCUGGGGGCCUGCUGACGCUGAGACACGGAAGCCAGGGGAGCGAACGGG
rnacentral:rRNA from 1 species